GAAGGUUCGUUUGAAAAUCAGAAGAGCAUGGUGUCUUUACACUGUCACCACGUCCAUAUAAUAAACUCCACAGGCAUGAAAACUGAGAAUUAGGUAGACUAGACAUGGCUGUCGCUCACGGUGAAAGAAUUUUGUCAAUACGACAUGUACUUUUCAUUUGGGAAGAAUUUGUUUGGGCCUGACUUUUCUGUUCAUUUUAAGCAGCAAAAGUGAGGCGCAUGUCUGUGUACGUGUGUAUGGAGCCAUUGGGUGCGGUCACUAUAGCAACCAGGCUCACACCUGCCUGCUUAACGAGCUCUGCCUGCCACUCUGCCAAGAUUCAUCUUAAGCACUUCUCUUUCAACUGCUGCUGUGUCCACAGUGUCACAGCCAUCAUUUUACCCUCAAAUUGUCGCCAUUAUUGUUCUCUUUCCAACACCGUGUCUUUCAAAGCUCAGAGAUGUAAACUUUUUAAACUGUGUGGGUCCAAGUGGAGGGAUCACAUUUUAGUCAUUCAGUGAUUCAAAGAAUAUGAACUUUUAAUAUUCUUUCAGAUGUUUUCUGACUCUAAAUGUUCUUUUCUCAUUUCUUAGGUUUUUCUAAUUUACAAUUAAAACAUUUUCAGCUUUUUUCCAACUUCUUCUUCUGUGUAACCUUCAGCUUUUAGCAGUUCAGCACUUUUGUUUUCAGGUUAAAUUCGGGGGUUUUUUUUGUUUUUUUUUAAUCUCAUUCAAUAUUUUUAACUCAAAAUUCAGCAAUUAAUUCAUUUCAGUGCAUACAUUCAGAUUCAAGCAUUCACACUGCAGUUUCUUCAGAAAAUGCACUUUCUAG
ensembl:lncRNA